UAGAAUUUUUUUUGUCUGAGCAAAUCAACUGAAAGUAAAACAUUUUCAUUUUGUGCUUUACCCUUUAUAUAAUGUUGUACCUCCAUGGAAUUUAUCCGUUUAUUUUUUAGCAUUUUUAAGGUGGAAUACAAUUUCCGUUUACCUCCUUCAGGUAACAGGCCUUCCUGUAGGGCUCCGGAGCGCACACUCAGAUCCAAGGAAGGCAGACAAACUGAGCUUGUCAGGGAGUGAGCUUUUUAUUGUCCCUCCCACUUUUACUGUCUGUAUUCAUUCUUCCCUGUUCAUCUCUCCCUUCCUGAAAGCUGAGAAACACACUUCCCCGUUCACCUUCAGGGAUGCUGAGUUUGGAGUUAGAAAGCUGAAAAGGAGGAAUGAUAAGCCACAAAUCUUUUUUUUUUUUUUUUUGAGAUUUUGGUUAAAACAGCUCACUAAACUACUAAAAGCAGUAGUUGGAUGAGAAGAAAAACAUAGAAAAAGAAAAAUAAAGUAGGUCAAUGUUAAACCUAGUGGUCUGUUAUGGACUGCUGUAAUGAAUGGGGUUCCCUGGGCACCUCCGGAAAGGAAACAGUUUAUGUCCCUCACGUCCUUCCACUGCUGUCCUGGGAUGUCCACAUGAAAGGCUUGAUAAGCGAGUGGAGGGGUAGUCAUCAUCUCUUACCACGUUUUGCAUUGAAAGCAGUGACGCCAUUAUGAACAAGGCUUGCCACUGAUGCUGAGUGACUGGUCCAGUUCGAGACUGGUCUGUACCACCCAGACACUCGAGGUGAACUGAUGAGGGGGUUGUCUCCACCCAGGUCUGUUUAUCUCCCCCUGGCUAGAAGUCCACAGACGAGUUAUGGCAGAAGGUGCAUCUUGUUCUGAUGCCUUUUGAUAUUUAUUUAUCCAUUUUUCUAGUUUCCCACACUGCAUAGGAUGUAAGAGCCUAGUAUUAGUAAAGUACAGAUAGUGCUCAUUACUGAGAUUGCCAUGUGAGAGCUGUGCAGCUUUUCAAUGUAUCACCAAACUCUGUUUUGAAGGUUGGUGGCCGCCAUGCUUGAAAUCUCUGGGUACCGAACCCACAGGACAUGCUAACAUCAGGCAGAGUUUUUGAACUCUAAAGACUCAUACCCAGUAUUAUUUUUGUCCUUUAAGGUUUUCAUGUAUUUUUUACUGAACCAACCAACCUAAGAUUUCAGAUGAUAGAUAAGAAAAAUCAGAUUCCCAGUUCAGCACAUCCAACUGUCCAGAGGAGGCAUUUUCAGCAUUACAUGAGACAGCAAUUCGACAUUUUCUCCAGUGGUGCCCCACACCACCAAGAACAGUGCGUCCCUGUGUCUAGCUCAGCAGCUCAGCAUCCUAUGUGUGCGGACAACAGCAUCCCUGACUCACGGGCUCCGGAGGCUGCAGCAGAAUUCAGGAGGCUGAGGCAAGAGGAUCAAAAAUUCAGAGCCAGUCUCAGCAACAGAGAAAGUUCAAGGCUGGUUUAGGUGAGUGGCACUAUUUGGAGGUGUGGCCUUUUGGAGUAGGCGUG
rnacentral:sRNA from 1 species